UUGAAUAACUUGCAUGAGGAACUUCUUGUACUUGCAGACUACCUAUUGAAUAAUUGUGUCCAGCUUGACUGGGAUUUCAAAACUACCAUGGCUGCAAUUUUUUCUUGAUAUGUUGCUGCUUUGGUUUUAAGUCUUUUGUUUCUUGUUACUUUGAUUUUGGUUAAUAUUUGUCAGAAAAGAAAAAAGGAAACCUUGAAAAAUGUUUUUAGAGCCUUUUUUGUGAAUAUGUUUUGUGAUUACUUUUCAGUGAAACUUGCUGCCCUCUCCCCGAUAAUGCACUUCUGUCCAUGCCUGUAAAAAUGUGACCCUCAUUUGCUUUCAGUGAAAACAUAAGCACCCCUGUUUUAUUGUACGCAGAAUAUGGACACCGUGCAUAUCCGUCUGCCUUUUGUCAGCCUGACCCAUGUCAUCAAGGAAAGCUACAGCUUCCUGUAAAGAACUGUAACUACCAUCUUUUAUCAAAACCUGGACCCCAGGAGUGUGGAAACAUGUCUCAAGACAGACUUUUCCAAAUGCAAAAAGGGACCAAUUUGUAUUGAUUGCAUAUCAGACUGUUUUUGGUUUUUGUCUUAAUUUUCCUCUUAUUCUUGGAAUGAAUUUGUUAUUUGCUUCUUGUUCUACAUGCUUUUUUCCCGAAGGGGUCUUGGGAACAAGUGUCCCAGAGAUUAGUUUCUAUGCCUUGAAUAUAUUACUCAAUAUAUUACUUUUAAAAUGUUCCACUGCUGUUCUUUCAAAAAUCAGAUUUUGUUAAUGUCAUUGUAUAGAAACAUAUGCACUAUUUGGAACAAAAAGAUGAAAAAUAUUAUAAUAAUACUAAAAUUAAUGUGCCAAACUAUGAACAAAUAACUUGUACAGGUGAUUUUCUAUCGAUCUGAAAAUUGGCUGAUCUGUUUUGGGACUAUCCAUGAAGAGGUGAUAUUCCAGAGAAGUUGUAUUUUGGGAUCCUCUCCAUCGACUGGCACCUGCAGCUGGCAGUGGCAAACAGCUACUCAUCAACCAAAACAGAAAAAUUCUGAUUUCAUUGUUUUGCCUUUUAACUUGCGUUGCCAAAUUGAAUUUACCUCAACAUCACGCAGUUACAUGAAGCUGAAAGAGAGGUGGAAAAGGAGCCCUGCUGCAUGCUGAAAGUGACAGAAGAAGCAGUACAAUGAGAGCUUUUAUUGGAUAAAACAAGAGCCUCAGCAAUACACCGAUGUCUGCCAGGUUUGGAAAGGGGUGAGCUGCUGAUGGGAUGCUGUAUAGGAGGCGAUGGGCUCACCGUGCUCUGCCUUUUCUUAUUUCUGCCUACUGUCAAUUGAAUGUACUAUUUUCCAAUAUUAUUUUUUUUUUACAAGGUGCCACUGCAGAGCUGCUGUCUCUUAUUUGUGCUGAUAAAGUCAAACAUGCGCAUGUGCGCACAUACACCCACACACACACACACACACACACACAAAAUCUACAUUUCUGAGAGACAAAGACAGAAAAAAAAAUGACAAAGAAAAGCCCAACUCUCUCUGUGCCCUCUUUAUGAAUGUAUAAUAUAUUGUUAUGUUAUGUUUGAUGUACUUACACCAUGGUUUUGACAUUAAUUGGGAUUAAUUGGUUUUGCCUUUUUUUCUUUGAAAAGAAUUUUGAGCUUUAUAAAUAUUGUCUAGAGUUGUUACCAGAAGGAUUCUUAAUGGACUCUUGACAUGAAAUCUUGUAUAUUUUUCAGUGUGCCAAUUUGUAACAUAUUUUGUAAGUGUAUAUUUUUCUUAGAAAGUGUUGUGAAGUAUUUGUGUGUGCGUGCGUGCGUGCGUGUGUGCGCACAUGUGUGUUUGUUUCUGUGUGCGCAUGCGUGUAUGUUUGUGUGUGUGUGUGUGAGUGUAACCUUUUUUGUGCCUCGGACAGGCAGUGAAAAGGAUGCAUAAUGACAGGUCUCUGGUUUUAAAAACCAAAAUUCAAAUGACAAAAAAGAAAAAUGGAAAAAAUCUAUACAUUUUUGUUGGGAGUUUUGUAAAAAGGCUGAUCUUGUUGUGGGAGUGUAGUGCUAUUGUGUAUAAGAAAUAAGCUGACAAAAAAACAGAGGAAAAAAUAAUACAAAUUUGUGAACUCUUUGCUGUUUUAUAGAUUUUCAUGUAAAUUAUUCUAGUAUUAUUUUGUUUUUUGUUGUAACUGUUGCAAAGGUUUUAAAUAUUUGUGAUCAAGCCUGUAUGGUGAUAAUGUAACAUUGGUAACUUGCUGAGUUUUGUAAUAAUGUUUAUGGAAUAAAUAUACAAAUCAAAAUAAGCUUUUGAAUGCA